AACGAACGCUGGCGGCAGGCUUAACACAUGCAAGUCGAACGCACCUUUCGGGGUGAGUGGCAGACGGGUGAGUAACGCGUGGGAAUCUACCCUUCUCUACGGGAUAGCUCCGGGAAACUGGAAUUAAUACCGUAUACGUCCUGAGGGAGAAAGAUUUAUCGGGGAAGGAUGAGCCCGCGUUGGAUUAGCUAGUUGGUGGGGUAAAGGCCUACCAAGGCGACGAUCCAUAGCUGGUCUAAGAGGAUGAUCAGCCACAUUGGGACUGAGACAUGGCCCAAACUCCUACGGGAGGCAGCAGUGGGGAAUAUUGGACAAUGGGCGCAAGCCUGAUCCAGCCAUGCCGCGUGAGUGAUGAAGGCCCUAGGGUUGUAAAGCUCUUUCAGUGGGGACGAUAAUGACGGUACCCACAGAAGAAGCCCCGGCUAACUUCGUG
rnacentral:rRNA from 1 species